CAGCAGUCGCCGCGGGAAUACGUAGGGGGCAAGCGUUGUCCGGAAUUAUUGGGCGUAAAGCGCGCGCAGGCGGUUUUUUAAGUCUGGUGUCUAAGUGCGGGGCUCAACCCCGUGACGCACUGGAAACUGGGAGACUUGAGUGCAGAAGAGGAGAGCGGAAUUCCACGUGUAGCGGUGAAAUGCGUAGAGAUGUGGAGGAACACCAGUGGCGAAGGCGGCUCUCUGGACUGUAACUGACGCUGAGGCGCGAAAGCGUGGGGAGCGAACAGGAUUAGAUACCCCCGUAGUCCCUGUCUCUUAUACA
rnacentral:rRNA from 1 species